rnacentral:rRNA from 1 species
GAUUAACGCUAGCGGCAGGCAUAAUACAUGCCAGUUGAACGGCAGCACAGGUAGCAAUACUGGGUGGCGAGUGGCGCACGGGUGCGUAACACGUAUGCAACCUACCCUAUACAGGCGAAUAACCUUUAGAAAUGAGGGCUAAUACGCCGUAGUAUUACAGAUGGGCAUCUAUUUGUAAUUAAAGAUUUAUCGGUAUAGGAUGGGCAUGCGUCCCAUUAGUUAGUUGGUAAGGUAACGGCUUACCAAGACGAUGAUGGGUAGGGGAUCUGAGAGGACUUACCCCCACACUGGUACUGGGACACGGACCAGACUACUACGGGAGGCAGCAGUAAGGAAUAUUGGGCAAUGGCCGCGAGGCUGACCCAGCCAUGCCGCGUGCAGGAAGACGGCCUUAUGGGUUGUAAGCUGCUUUUAUACGGGAAUAAUAGAGUGUACGCGUACAUUUAUGCAAGUAUCGUAUGAAUAAGCAUCGGCUAACUCCGUG